AGCGGCCCUGUCACCCGUUUCGCUGCCAAGCACAGGGCUGAGGUGCGGAGGGACUACUGAGAGGACUUCAAUGCGAGUCAGUUCACCUGUGGACGGCGUGUGGAGGAGGUGGUUGGCGAAUAGUGAAAUAUACAUAACUUUGAGAAGGGAAGAGAUCGUUUCUUAACGAGAGCAGAAAUUUGAAGGCAGACGCGGUGGAGGCAUUCCCGCUGCCCGAAGUGCAGAAGACCAAUCAGAAUGCAAUGUAUCUUAAUACACGUGCAAGGAAAGACAGGAGAGGACAUUAAAACUGGGACAGUUUAUGGAGACUUCAUGGUUGGGGGAAUCUGUACCUUGGGCACAGUGAGUCGUGGCUGUAGAAGCCUGCAGCUCAUCAUGUCAAGGGCAGGGUGUCAGGACUGUGGUUGAAGAUGAAGCAAGCAGCUCAGUGAAGUGUGCACAGCAAAGAAAUUAGGACACAGAUGCACAUAGUAGGAAGCCCAUGUGAAGACACAGGGAGAAGAUGGUCAUCUGCAAGCCCAGGAGAGAGGCCUCAGG